rnacentral:rRNA from 1 species
UACGUAGGGUGCGAGCGUUUGUCCGGAAUUACUGGGCGUAAAGAGCUCGUAGGUGGUUUUGUCGCGUUGUCCGUGAAAACUCACAACUCAAUUGUGGGCGUGCGGGCGAUACGGGCAGACUGGAGUACUGCAGGGGAGACUGGAAUUCCUGGUGUAGCGGUGGAAUGCGCAGAUAUCAGGAGGAACACCGGUGGCGAAGCGGGUCUCUGGGCAGUAACUGACGCUGGAGGAGCGAAAGCGUGGGGAGCGAACAGGA